GAAUCUGGCUUCAGGUCUGGGACAACCACUGGAAACGGUGGCUAAUACCGGAUGUGCCGAGAGGUGAAAGGUUAACUGCCUGAAGAUGAGCUCGCGUCUGAUUAGCUAGUAGGUAGUGUAAUGGACUACCUAGGCGACGAUCAGUAGCUGGUCUGAGAGGACGAUCAGCCACACUGGGACUGAGACACGGCCCAGACUCCUACGGGAGGCAGCAGUGGGGAAUUUUCCGCAAUGGGCGAAAGCCUGACGGAGCAAUACCGCGUGAGGGAGGAAGGCUCUUGGGUCGUAAACCUCUUUUCUCAGGGAAGAACACAAUGACGGUACCUGAGGAAUAAGCAUCGGCUAACUCCGUGCCAGCAGCCGCGGUAAUACGGAGGAUGCAAGCGUUAUCCGGAAUGAUUGGGCGUAAAGCGUCCGCAGGUGGCUAUGUAAGUCUGCUGUUAAAGAGUCUAGCUCAACUAGAUAAAAGCAGUGGAAACUACAUGGCUAGAGUGCGUUCGGGGCAGAGGGAAUUCCUGGUGUAGCGGUGAAAUGCGUAGAGAUCAGGAAGAACACCGGUGGCGAAGGCGCUCUGCUAGGCCGCAACU
rnacentral:rRNA from 1 species